CAGAAGGCGUGGGGGCUUAGCUGCCAUCAACUAUAGAACGGUUGUCGUGGAAACGCUGGGAGGUCCCGCUUGAUUGGCAGGUUCUCACAGCUCUCUGCCCUUGCCCAAGAGGAGUGAGUUCUGGACACUGGAAUGGCUCCCAUGCUCCUGACAGCCAGGUCUCCAUGCUGAUGGAUGCCAUGCUGAGUACCCUGGGAAGUGGGUGCUGUCCCAGAUGAGAACACUGGGACAAGCAGUGGUUUGGGAGAAAAGGCCUGAAAACUGGAUAUUCUGUGGACUCACAAAGGAUGGUCUCUGAGUUUCCAGUCUGAGAGGAAUCUGAGAUUGGGAUGUCAGAUUAGAAAGGCAGCAGAGCAUGGAGGAUAAAAAUCCUCAGCAAUCAUGCAAAAUCAAUCUCAAAAUCACCUCAAAAUCAUCAAAUCAUCCAAAAUCAUCUCAAAAUCAUCUCAAGAUCAUCCAAAAGGAAACUCCC
rnacentral:lncRNA from 1 species